AAGUCGUAACAAGGUUUCCGUAGGUGAACCUGCGGAAGGAUCAUUACAAAUCUCUGAUACUCACGAUUGAGAGACUGUUAGGGUUAGUCUCUCAUCGCAUACUUGCUACCAUUACCUAUUGACACUUGUAUAUCUACAAAAACAACCAAGAAUACCUUUUAACAAUGGAUCUCUUGGCUCUU
rnacentral:misc_RNA from 1 species